UCUGCCUGUUCUCUGUGCCAACCGAGAGACAAGCGAUACCAAGCUCCUGGAGUGCUGGUGAGGGUCGACAGAGAGAGGGGGGAGGAAGAAAAAAAGGAUGAGACAGGGAGGGAGAGAAAAAGAGAGAGAAAGAGAGAGAGAGAGAGAGAGAGAUGAGUAGAGAAGAAAGAAAGAGGUAGAAAGUGAAUAAAGAGUGGAGAAUGCAAAGCAAGGAAAGUAAAAGAGUGAGAAGAGAAGGGGGAGAAGGAGGAAGUGAAAGAGGAGGGAUGUAGAGAGAAAGGGGCAGACAGGAUGGAGGUGUAGGAUGGGAAGACAAAAGCGGUAAAAAGAAAGAGAUAGAGAGUCUGAUUAGGAAGGAGAGGAGGGAGUUUUGAGUGAUAGCGAACAUACUGUAGAUGAAAGCUUUCGAAGGAGAGGGAUGCUGAGAAGCAUCAGCGCUGUCAGAGCAUGUUCAGCCCUCAGGGACAGCCGGGGGGCGGCCGUCAGCCUUUAUUUGGAGAGCAGAGGGUUUUCUACACUACCUGCAGCCCUGGAAUCAGCUGACAGGUCAAGUCAUAGUGUGUGACCAGCUUGGCAUCAGAUAAUCAGCCUUGAAGUGCUGGAGCAGGGGAAGAUGCUGUGUGCAAAGUGCCCUCCAGUGGAGACAGUGUGUACUUCAUGCAUGCUGAUCUCUUGGCCUCCAGUCAGAGUUACUUAAUGUUACACACCUCUACUACUCCUGCAGUCAGCUGUUUUAAUUGUAGCCUAAGCCAUGAGUAUACUGCAGAGGAAAGGUGAGUGUAUCUCUGCUUUUAUUGCCAAUAUGGCAGAUCGCUUCCUAAAUGCUUCCAAUAAAAGGCGGCUCCACUGUGUGCGCCACCGUCUGAGAACAAUAAGGUAACAUGAACACUGAGGUGAUAUCUUGUCAGUGACUCGUUUCUGUCAUGGGGUCACUGAAGACGAACUUCCUUUCACACUGCCUCUGCACUGUACUACAGUACUGUGGUGAGUGUGUGAGUGUUGAGUGUGAGUGGGUGGGGAGGGUCAGCUGGUGUUGUGAAUCAGGCCGCUGAAGUGUCAGACACGGCUUCUUCACAACACCAGGGUUCCUCCCCACCACUUCCUGCUGGGAUACAUGACACAUCUGCAACAUGACAGUAAUGUACAUCAGCAUGUGUGUGUGCUUUUAAUAAAUGCUCCUGUGGAAUUAAAGGUUGGACAUCUGAAAUCAUCCUCCUGCAAAGAUAUUUGAUUUUUGAAAGUAAAUUGUGCAUUCAUAAAUAAAAUGUAGUGUGUCCAAAACUGUUGUAAUUUUUUGAUGUGCAAGAACAACUGUGUUUCAUUAUAUCAAAAAAGACUAUUCUUUUGGCAUUUAUGAUGCUAUAUUAUUUUAAAAUGUAUGUGGAAUGACCACACAUACCACCACAGAUGUGCUCAUUGUAUUUUCACUUGCUUUAGAGAUUUAUUAAUAUGGAUAUCAGCACGAAAGAGUAUAAAGAAAAAGACAGUUUUUUUACAAGGGGCUUUCUUUGACAGAUUGGAAAUAGGUGAGAUAAUCUUACUGCAUUGGGCAGGAUUCUUUAAUUUCAACUAUUUUACUGAAAUAAAUACAAAUUUGGUCAACACUUGAUGUAAUAAUGUAGCUGACACAGAUACAUUUAUAUUCUAUGGGCUGAAUAAUGUAUGUUCUGACAUAAAAUGAUGCGACCGUUUGUCUUUGUGACACCAAUGAAUUAUUUGUACAUGUAUAUUUGAUACAUGUAUUAAAGAAGGUGUACAUAUAUAUAAAAUACACAAAUUAUGGAUUAGAUGAUUAGAGAAGUUAGUUUUUUUGGGCAAACAUUUUUAAGAAAUGUUCUUAUUUUUGUCUGUUUUUCAUCCUGUCUUAUUUUACACUAAACUACAGACACUCAUUUCAGAAUAAACUUUGACAUUAAAAAGAAAAACUUGACUGGGAACAAGCAGACUAAUCCUAAUUAAUUGUUUGUCUUGCUACAGUGUGACAAUCACAUCUUUCAAGCCAAAUCUAAGACUAAAGAACUUGUUUAGAAUGUUUUUUUACAUUCUAAUUUAGCAAUGCCAGCUGUCAAGGUGAAUGUAAUGCAUACAGCUCAUGCCUGAGCCCGAUUAGGAUUUAGUUCUGGGUAGAAUUCUCUAGAAUCAGACACUGAUUGGACUUGUUCCAUACGUACAUUGACUGCUUGCAGCAUAACCUCAAAGUGGACAGUCAGCGUCCAUACAGGCCUUCAGACUUGGCUCUGGAUUAAGUCACUGUACGAGUAUUUAGUGAAUGUUUGAGUGGUGAAUAAAUGGCUGAAGGAACAACAUGAAUGUGUUUGUCUCGUUUAAAAAAAGAGAAUUUGUACACACAAAAUAAAGAAAUACGUAUACAAACUA